GAUUAACGCUGGCGGCGUGCAUAACACAUGCAAGUCGAACGAUGAAACUUUAAUGACCCCUUCGGGGAGAAUUAAAGCGGCUUAGUGGCGAACGGGUGAGUAACGCGUGAGUAACCUGCCUUACACAAGGGGAUAGCCUUUGGAAACGAAGAAUAAUACCCUAUAAAACCAUAAAAGCACAUGCAAUUAUGGUCAAAGUGAUAGCGGUGUAAGAUGGACUUGCGUCUGAUUAGCUAGUUGGUGAGAUAAAAGCCCACCAAGGCAACGAUCAGUAGCCGGCUUGAGAGAGUGUACGGCCACAUUGGGAUUGAGACACGGCCCAGACUCCUACGGGAGGCAGCAGUGGGGAAUUUUGCACAAUGGGGGAAACCCUGAUGCAGCGACGCCGCGUGAUUUAGAAGGCCUUCGGGUUGUAAAAAUCUUUUGUAUAGGAAGAAAAUGACAGUACUAUACGAAUAAGGUCCGGCUAAUUACGUG
rnacentral:rRNA from 1 species